UGCUCGGUGGUCGAGUGGUAAGACGUCUGCCUUAGAAAGCAGGAGGUCGUGGGUUCGAGUCCCACCCGAGUGA
rnacentral:tRNA from 1 species